GGACUACCAGGGUAUCUAAUCCUAUUAAUUUCCUAAGCCUUCGUCCUUCAACGUCAGUUUUUACAUAGAAAGUUGCUUUCGCUGUUACCUGUUCCAGUAAGUAUCAUAGUAUUUCAUCACUCCACCAUACUGUACUCCGUAACUCUCUUUUAUAAAACUCUAGUAAAAUUGAUUCCCUUUAGGGUUUAAUCUACCGUCUAAGUACCCUUUAAACCUAUUCAAGAUGAAUAACACUAGUCUUUCACGUAUUACCGCGGCGGCUGGCAC
rnacentral:rRNA from 1 species